UUACAUUUAAACAAACAGAUCUAAGCAUAUAUCUUCAAAGAUUUUAUGCACAGUCCAAUCAUAUGCUACAUUUUGAUCUAGACUUAUUUAAUCUUUGAAAAGAGCAAGAAUAGCAGUUUCCCCUGUUUACAGUCUUUAAGCUACGCUGAUCUAACUGUAUCCUGGAUUUAGAUACAUACUUAACGUACAAAUGUGAGUGGUAUUUAUCUUGUAGCCUAAUUCUCAGCAAGAAAGCAAAUAAGUGUAUUCUCCAAAAUGUAAAACUAAACGUGAUUCAGGAAGCAUUACGUUUCCUUCAUAGCGUAUUUGCUGUUGCAAUUUAGUGGCAUAUAAACUUAGUUUCUGGGACACAGGGCUGGUUAUUGACCACCACACCCAACUAAAUCAUGAGGUCAUGGAGUUCACCACCAUCCUCCUGAUUGGCCAUUACUGUUUGUCUGAAGUCCCUAGAAAUGGUCUGAAAAAUGUGCUGAUGAUAGUCGAACUCUGUCUUUGAAAUUACGUUCAUAUACAACUAAAUUGCGACAGUAAAUAUGCUUUACUUAGACACACAAUGCUGGCUGAAUUACAUUUUCUCUCAUCAUAAUGAGAAAUAUAUUUGGCUAGUUGCAAAAAGUACCAAGACCUUGUUUUUCCCACCAAAAUAUCCAGCCUUGCAGUACAAUAUCUGCUGGUAGAAACUACAGCAUCAUUAAAGUUGUUUUGGUUAUGUUUAGACUCUGGCAGCAGGUUAAGGUCAGAGACAGAUUGUGGUCUCUGUUUAAGACAGAAGAAUUCUGCAGUGACUUGAAGCACAACAUGUUAACAUUUAACAGAAACCACCGUUUUUCACUAACCUGAACCAAAGUGCUUUUGCUUUUGUUUAAACCUGAACACACACAGAGCUCAAGAUGUGAAGUUCGCUCUCUGGACUCCUGCAUCUUAUACUCCAACUUCACAACAAUAUAUAAAUGUAGCUUCAUUCAUUCAAAAAAACAUUGCCUGUGACCAUAAUCCAGGCAGAGAUUAUAUUUGCCAAAGCAACGUAAUUGGGAAACAAUUAAGUUUGUUUAUGAACGUAAUUCCUAGGAGACAAGGUUGCAAUAGCUCUGUGACUGAAACAUUCAACUUUAUAUCACAUUUCUCCACGCUGUGUCACUUGUUAUAUCAAAUAAAUGAUUCCCUUUUGGAUCUAAAGAGUGAGGGCCUUUUUCUAUGUAAUGGGACUAUUUUCUCCAUCAGGCUUGCUCUCAGUUUGUGUGGUUUUCACUACCUGGGGAACCAAACCAAAUGCUGCAGUUGACUUGACUUUUAAAUGACUCCAUGGGUUAAGGAGUUGUGUGAGGCAGGCACAAUCAGUGGAAGCAUUUAUCUUUUAAUACCAGUUCUGGGAAACCAGUAGCUAAUAUUAUGUCAUCUUGGCAAAAUUCAGAUUCUUCUUAUCCUCACCUGUCUGUAGCCGUCCAGCUUGCAUUGGCGCUGAAUCCCCAGCAAACAACUUUGAUUUGGGGAGUUUCUCUCAUACUUUCUCUGCAUUUUUUCUUUGGGAAUUAUGACACUGAACUAUACGAGAUGAGCUUAAUUCAACAUAAUUUGUGCAAUUCACUUUUUCCAUGUUUGUCCAUUUGUCUUCACACUCACAUGUACACUGAUGACACGUGACUCUGAAAAUAAACAUCGCUGCCUGCUUCUCAUUACUCUAAUUGGUGAUUUAGUAAGUCUAUGGCAGCUGAGUACAUAUAAACCCAUGCUGGGCUCAGGCUGAAUAUAAAUGCCAGCUCUUCCGCUAAUAGGAAUUUGGCUUUAACUGUAGCUCUCCAGCAGUUUCCGUUGUCUGGCAUCGACCAGGAUUGUGACGAAUAGGGGAGAUAAUCUCUCUUGAAGUCAUAACCACGGUUCUGCUUUUUACCGAUGCGCAGAAUCUCUGUAACAUUUGUCCUGUUUAAAAGGAAUGAAGAGAAGUUUGGUGGAAAUUAGUGCAUUUUUACGAUUCCAACCUCAAGUGCGGGGUGUACUUUUGAAAAUAGUCAACAAAUACCCAGACAUACGGGUAAUAUCAUGAUGUUUACUUACUUUCUGUCUUUAUUUUCCUACAUUUAACCAGGUAAAAGCCUCAUUGAGGUUAAACCUCCAUUUUAACGAUGAGCUGGCUAAAAAAGGCAGCAUAGUGUCACAACAAUAAAUACCGGCCAAGAAAACUGUCACACACUACACAAGAGCAGAAACAAUAUCCAUUUGAAUUAAUUUUCUAAUUUAGAACAAUAGUUUUGUCUUGCCAGAGGUAACUUCUGACAGGGCUUUACAGUUAAGACAGACUCUUUAGAAUUACAAGUGUAUUUGGUAACGGACAUGAGGUUUCAUUUUCUAGUUUUAUAUAUAUAUGCAUAUAUGGGCUAUAUCAGGCUUUGUAAAGCAAAGAUUUGCAGCAGAUAACUUGAGACACCUUUUACCUAUUAUAGAUGCAGUAUCUAAAAUACUGUCUGUCAAUGCUGAGCAGGCAUUUGGCAGACUUGAAUGGAAGUAUUUAUGGUACAAAAUGAAAAAUAUGGGUUUUGGAGAAAAGUUCAUGGAUAUGAUCAAAGUUCUGUAUUACAACCCAACAGCUUGGGUACUUAUAUCUUAUGACCAAUGACCAUGCAAUUUUCUGUUGAACGAGGAGCCAGACAGAGAUGUCCUGCAUCAGCAUUGCUCUUCACUUUAUCUCUUAAACCAUUACUGCAGAAGAUCAGAAACACUCAAGAGGUGGAACAUAUUGUUGUAAACAAAGACAUACCGUAAACUGGCUUUAUAUGCUGAUGAUUUGUUAUUGUUUCUUGACAAUGUGCCAUAAUCCUUACCACCAGCGCUAAAUGUCAUUCAUUAGUUUAGUACUAUCUCAGAUUAAAAGAUCAGUUUGAACAAAUCCUUCCUCCCUCCCUACUCAAAAAACUACACAAGACUAAGAAACAUAAUAACAGAGGAAUUGCAAAAAUGGACAUCAAUAAUUAUUACUUUGGCUUCCAGACUCUUAGUGAUCAGCACCCAUAUAUUACCUACAUUUAUUUAUUUAUUUAUUUUUUUCAAACAUGAUCCACCUACCACCCCCAGCAGGUUUUUGGGAGAGACUGCAAGCACAAAUUUACAAGUUUAUCUGGUGUGACAAACAACCAAGCAUUAGAGAUUCUACAGUCCAAAAUAGCAGACAGGCAGGAGGUUUAUCUUACUAACUUUAUAUUAUCUUUCAUUCAUGAUUAACCUGCAAUGCAGAGCUUCUGUUGAUGCGUGUUAAUGACGUAUGCCUACAGCCAUAGGGUCCACCAAGGCUGCACCUUCCUGACAGUUUGACCUCAGAGAAUAAACUCCAAAAUGUUUUAGUCAUUUUAUUAACUUUUCCUCGUCACCGCAUCCAGAAUCCACCAAGUGUGCAGCACCUCACCACACCAGGACCGGGCAGGUGACCAAAGGCGGGGUGGUUCUUCCCGUAUACCGCUGUGCUCAAGGGUCGACAUCACUGGAGUCACUCCACUUCAACAGGCUCGUCCAAGGCUUCCCAAUGUGAUAGGCUGCAUCGAUGGCACAAAUAUCCCUAUCACUGCUCCUUCAGUUAAUGGAGGAGACUAUGUGAAUAAGAAGUCUUUCCACAGAUUUAAUGUGCAGGUACACUGACUACUGUCUUACAAUAACAGAGACUAUUCAUCACAAUGUACUACAGCUAACAUUUCUCAUUCUCUGCACUGUCAAGAUCAUAUGUGACACAGCACACAUGAUCACAAAUAUUGAAGCCAAGUGGCUCGGCUCCAUGCAUGACUCACGAAUGUGUCGUAAGUGUAGCCUGAGCAGCAGAUUUGCACAUGGAGAGUUUGAUGGACAUCUGCUUGGUGACAGACGGUACCCAUGCCAGCCCUCUCUGUUGACCCCUUACCCUGAGCCAGGCCCCCAAUAGCGUUUCAAUUGAGAUGAUUGGUUGAGAUGACAAUAGGCAUGCUAAAAGCCUGGUUUCACUGCCUACGUAGACUCAGGGUAACCCCUGAGGGACAUGUGAGAUUAUAGUGGAAUGUGUUGUUCUCCAUAAUAUUGCCAUGAUUAUGGGAGAGCAACCCUCUGCUGUACAAAUGAACGACCCUGAGGAAGACCAUCCCAUCCAUCCUGCGAAUGUCCAGGAUGGAAGAGCUGUCCGAGACAUAAUGUGCCGGAAUCACUUCAUCGAUUAAGCUACCACCACCCCUAGCGGU